rnacentral:rRNA from 1 species
GACGAACGCUGGCGGCGUGCUUAACACAUGCAAGUCGAACGGAAAGGCCCUGCUUUUGUGGGGUGCUCGAGUGGCGAACGGGUGAGUAACACGUGAGUAACCUGCCCUUGACUUUGGGAUAACUUCAGGAAACUGGGGCUAAUACCGGAUAGGAGCUCCUGCUGCAUGGUGGGGGUUGGAAAGUUUCGGCGGUUGGGGAUGGACUCGCGGCUUAUCAGCUUGUUGGUGGGGUAGUGGCUUACCAAGGCUUUGACGGGUAGCCGGCCUGAGAGGGUGACCGGCCACAUUGGGACUGAGAUACGGCCCAGACUCCUACGGGAGGCAGCAGUGGGGAAUAUUGCACAAUGGGCGGAAGCCUGAUGCAGCAACGCCGCGUGCGGGAUGACGGCCCUCGGGUUGUAAACCGCUUUCGCCUGUGACGAAGCGUGGGUGACGGUAAUGGGUAAAGAAGCACCGGCUAACUACGUG